rnacentral:rRNA from 1 species
GAUCCUGGCUCGGGAUGAACGCUAGCGGCAGGCUUAACACAUGCAAGUCGAGGGGCAUCGGGAGUAGCAAUACUGCCGGCGACCGGCGCAAGGGUGCGUAACGCGUGAGCAACAUGCCCGUAUCAGGGGGAUAAUCCAUGGAAACGUGGUCUAAUACCCCAUAGUAAUUAUGUAAGGCAUCUUAUAUAAUUUAAAGCUUUGGUGGAUACGGAUUGGCUCGCGUGACAUUAGCUAGAUGGUAAGGUAACGGCUUACCAUGGCUACGAUGUCUAGGGGUUCUGAGAGGAAGGUCCCCCACACUGGAACUGAGACACGGUCCAGACUCCUACGGGAGGCAGCAGUGAGGAAUAUUGGACAAUGGAUGGAAAUCUGAUCCAGCCAUGCCGCGUGCAAGGAAGACGGCCCUAUGGGUUGUAAACUGCUUUUGUAUGGGAGCAAUAAGGGCUACGUGUAGUCCGAUGAGAGUACCAUACGAAUAAGCACCGGCUAACUCCGUGCCAGCCGCCGC